AUGCUUCUUCAAUGAACCACUAGGAAAAAAGGCACGCACCGUCGUCGUUGUCCACUUUAUUGGAGCAUAAAAUGUGAAAAAGGCUCCUUAUUCACCGCCUUCUUCU
ensembl:ncRNA F49E10.24 ncRNA